CUACGUGCCAGCAGCCGCGGUAAUACGUAGGGCGCGAGCGUUGUCCGGAAUUAUUGGGCGUAAAGAGCUUGUAGGCGGUUUGUCGCGUCUGCUGUAAAAGGCCGGAGCUUAACUCCGUGUAUUGCAGUGGGUACGGGCAGACUAGAGUGCAGUAGGGGAGACUGGAAUUCCUGGUGUAGCGGUGGAAUGCGCAGAUAUCAGGAGGAACACCGAUGGCGAAGGCAGGUCUCUGGGCUGUAACUGACGCUGAGAAGCGAAAGCAUGGGGAGCGAACAGGAUUAGAUACCCUGGUAGUCCAUGCCGUAAACGUUGGGCACUAGGUGUGGGGAACAUUCCACGUUUUCCGCGCCGUAGCUAACGCAUUAAGUGCCCCGCCUGGGGAGUACGGCCGCAAGGCUAAAACUCAAAGAAAUUGACGGGGGCCCGCACAAGCGGCGGAGCAUGCGGAUUAAUUCGAUGCAACGCGAAGAACCUUACCAAGGCUU
rnacentral:rRNA from 1 species